rnacentral:misc_RNA from 1 species
UUUCCGUAGGUGAACCUGCGGAAGGAUCAUUAAAGUUAUAGUCCCCCGGCCCUCUGGGCUGGGGUCUUCUAUACCACCCUUUGUUUAUUACACCUUUGUUGCUUAGGCAGGCCUGCCCUCGGGCUGCUGGCUCCGGCCGGCUCGCGUCUGCCAGAGGACCUGAACUCUGUUUGUAUAUGAAGUCUGAGUACUAUAUAAUAGUUAAAACUUUCAACAACGGAUCUCUUGGUUCUG